rnacentral:lncRNA from 1 species
GCACAAAGGGCCUCGAGGGACCCUCGGGACACCCUCGGGACUGGGGCCAAAGGUCCUGGGUCCCAAAGGUCCCACCCAGAGGUUCCUGGGGGGCAGCUCAGUCACCACCCUGGGGAGGAGAAGGGUGUCCAUCCCAAAAUGUCGCUGACUCAGCACAAAGGGGCUCAGGGACCCCAGGGCCAAAGGUCCUCGGUCCCAAAGGUCCCACCCAGAGGUCCCUGGGGGGCAGCUCUGGGUGGGUCCCAUCCAAAGGUCCUGGGGGGCAGCUCAGUCACCACCCUGGAGAGGGGAGGGGGGAGGGUGUCCUGCCCUUCCCAACCUCCCAAAAUCUCGCUGACUCAGCACAAAGGGCCCUGGGAGACCCUUGGGACCCGGGUGGGUCCCACCCAAAGGUCCCUGGGGGCAGCUCAGCCAGGCCAACCUGUGCCAACCCAACCUGUGCCAGUCCAAAUUAUCCAGCCCAAGCUGUGCCAGUCCAACCUGUGCCAGUCCAAAUUAUCCAGCCCAAGCUGUGCCAGUCCAACCUGUCUAAUCCAACCUGUGCCAGUCCGACCUGUCCCAAUCCAACCUGUCCCAAUCCAAAUUAUCCAACCCAACCUGUGCCAGUCCAACCUGUGCCAUUCCUACCUGUCCAAAUCCAACCUGUGCCAGGCCAAAUUAUCCAAACCAAUUUGUCCCAAUUCAAAUUAUUCAACCCAACCUUCCCAGUCCAACCUGUGCCAAUCCAAAUUAUCCAGCCCAACCUGUGCCAUUCCUACCUGUCCCAAUCCAAGUUAUUCAACUCAUCCUGUCCCAAUCCAAAUUAUCCAACCCAACCUGUGCCAGUCCUACCUGUGCCAGUCCAAAUUAUCCAGCCCAACCUGUCCCAGUCCAACCUGUCCCAAUCCAAGUUAUUCAACCCAACCUUUCCAGUCCAACCUGUCCCAAUCCAAAUUAUCCAGACCAACCCAUCCCAACCUGUCCAAUCCAAAUUAUCCAGCCCAACCUUUCCAGUCCAACCCAACCUUUCCAGUCCAACCUGUCCCAAUCCAAAUUAUCCAACCCAACCUUUCCAGUCCAACCUGUCCCAGCCCAAAUUACCCAGCCCAGCCCAACCCUCAGCUGGUGGAGCCUCAGAAAACAAAAAAAAAAGGCAGGUUUUGGAAGAGUUUGAACC